rnacentral:rRNA from 2 species
GGUUGACCUCGGAUCAGGUAGGGAUACCCGCUGAACUUAAGCAUAUCAAUAAAGCGGAGG